GCAUUGUGUCAAUAAUAAGUGUUGCUGUGAAGAGAACAAUAGUCAGACUGAAUGUUGAACAUCAGCUAGUUUCUCCUGCUGAUUUAAACCUUGUUGGACAGAUGGAACAUUGGCUGUGGAUUAUUCUAGCUGCUCUUUUCUUUGAGUGUAAAGGAGACUCAGUGACGCAGACAGAAGGACAUGUUGCUGCUGCUCAGGGAGAAUCUGUGACUCUGGGAUGUACCUUUGAGACCAUUUCUACAAAUUAUGCUCUGUUAUGGUAUAAACAACAAGGCCAAGGUGUUCCAAAGUACAUGCUCAAGGAAUAUAUUAAAAGAAGUGACAAUGCUCCAGAGUUCAAUAGAAACCGAUUUACUGCUCAGGUCAAUAAAUCAGCCUUCGAUCUGACGAUCCAGGAUCUCCGUCUGUCAGACUCUGCUGUGUACUACUGUGCUCUGCAGCCCACAGUGACAGGAAACACCAGAACUCUGUACAAGAACCUGCAAAACAAGGACAAAACAAUGCAUCCUAUCAUCCACUAGGGGGGCUCCUAAAGCAGGCUUUAAGAACAUGUAAUAAAGAUGGUUAUGGAGGGUGUCAAGUGCCAUUAUAAAGUAAAUUACUUAUGAAAUAACCAUUUAGAUGUGUCACUUAAAUUGAGUAGUGAAUUUAUUUUAAAUGUAUGUAAUUAUUUUUA